UUGCUGCAGCAUAUAUACUCGAUAGAUUCUCAUCCCAUCCUGACAUCCUCAGGUCUCCACUCUCUCGAUCAGCUUGAUGCCCGACGCUUCCAAGAUCUCCAGCGCUUCACAGCCGCAAACACACAGGUGCAGGAUGUCUGUGUGUGAUGUGUUGUGAUUGGAGUGCAGCAGUACCAGGGCUCCUAUCGCUGCCGGUACCCCAACGGUGAGGGCCAUGGCGGUGGUGGGCCUGCCGUUCUCGGUCUUUCCGAACUCCAGCAGCGUCGCUUGGUGCUUCUCGGUGGGUCGCCCGUCGGGGUACUCCACCUCGACUUCAUGGUGGAGCAGUACCAUAUCCUGAAUCGUGGGAGCAAAGCAAACAUUUAGCUAGUCAUGGUCCGAGUAAGCCAGUCUCUUUUAAUUUAUUCUGCAAGCCUGUUUAUGAUUGAGAUAUGGUGUUGGAAAGCAAUGUGAGAUGUAGAAGUACAGGCUGGUCAUCAAACUGUCAAUCUACUACAACACUAAUAAGAGUCUGCGUAUGAAAUUUGGUGCUGCCAGAUUAACAGUUGAUUAUGUCAAAAAUGAUAAGUAAAAACUAUUACUUUUGAGAUAUUUGCCUCUUAAGUAACAUUA